AACACCUUUAGCCUUGGCCCGAUGCCCCAGUUCGCACAGUCAGGAGGUUUACCGUAUCAACUUCAUUUUGUUCACGGUGUUUUAUCAAUGAUGAUGUACUGCUUCAAAAUUUGUUACGGUACUCUCCAAAUUUAUAUGCCCCAAGAAUAUGUCCCGGAUCACUGUUUUAUAUUGAGAAGUUCAUUCUUGUCAACCGGUUGGUUUGAAUUCUUCUAGCCUUCCAUCCAAUUUUUGUGUAAACCACCAACGUAGGGUCACUCUGCACCAAGAAGAUGGUUGUUCUAGCUAAGGAGAAUACACCAAGAAAAGCAACCGAGCAGAAUUCAGCAGCAUGCCUACAAUGACAUUUCAGUUUUGAAAAUAUAACUUGAGCAACAUCA
rnacentral:lncRNA from 1 species